GUUGUAUGGUUAAGUGACUAAGCGUACACGGUGGAUGCCUUGGCAGUCAGAGGCGAUGAAGGACGUGCUACCCUGCGAAAAGGGUUGGUGAGCUGGGAUGGAGCGCUAUAGCCAACCAUGUCCGAAUGGGGAAACCCACCUAAGAUAACUUAGGUAUCGUUAAGUGAAUACAUAGCUUAACGAGGCGAACCGGGAGAACUGAAACAUCUAAGUACCCCGAGGAAAAGAAAUCAACCGAGAUUCCGUUAGUAGCGGCGAGCGAACGCGGAGCAGCCCAGAGUCUGAAUCAGUGGAUGCGUUAGUGGAACGGAUUGGAAAGUCCGGCGAUACAGGGUGAUAGCCCCGUACACGAAGACGCAUUGCUGUGAGCUCGAUGAGUAGGACGGGACACGUGGUAUCCUGUUUGAAGAUGGGGGGACCAUCCUCCAAGGCUAAAUACUCCUGACUGACCGAUAGCGAACCAGUACCGUGAGGGAAAGGCGAAAAGAACCCCUGUGAGGGGAGUGAAAUAGAACCUGAAACCGUGUACGUACAAGCAGUGGGAGCACCUUCGUGGUGUGACUGCGUACCUUUUGUAUAAUGGGUCAGCGACUUACAUUUUGUAGCGAGGUUAACCGAAUAGGGGAGCCGUAGGGAAACCGAGUCUUAAUAGGGCGAAUUAGUUGCAAGGU
rnacentral:rRNA from 1 species